ACUCUUGUAAAAGUUUGCGGCCAAUCAUCUCGGACUCUGGAUCCGAGGACGGCGGUUCGAAUCCGCCCGGGGCUA
rnacentral:tRNA from 1 species